ensembl:miRNA
UGUGGGUGUGGCAGUGCUGGAGCUACUCAACUUCCCACCACCUUCCUCACCCACGCU